GACGAACGCUGGCGGCGUGCUUAACACAUGCAAGUCGAACGGUGAAGCGCCUUCCUUUUUGGUGGGUGUGGAUGAGUGGCGAACGGGUGAGUAACACGUGAGUAACCUGCCCCCUUCUUCUGGAUAACCGCAUGAAAGUGUGGCUAAUACGGGAUAUUCUGGGUCUGUCGCAUGAUGGGUCUGGGAAAGAUAUUGUUUCGGUGGGGGAUGGGCUCGCGGCCUAUCAGCUUGUUGGUGGGGUGAUGGCCUACCAAGGCGGUGACGGGUAGCCGGCCUGAGAGGGUGGACGGUCACACUGGGACUGAGACACGACCCAGACUCCUACGGGAGGCAGCAGUGGGGAAUAGUGCACAAUGGGCGCAAGCCUGAUGCAGCGACGCCGCGUGAGGGAUGGAGGCCUUCGGGUUGUGAACCUCUUUCGCCAGUGAAGCAGGCCUGCCUCGUUUGUGGGUGGGUUGACGGUAGCUGGAUAAGAAGCGCCGGCUAACUACGUG
rnacentral:rRNA from 1 species